rnacentral:rRNA from 1 species
GUAGGUGGCAAGCGUUGUCCGGAAUUAUUGGGCGUAAAGCGCGCGCAGGCGGUUUUUUAAGUCUGAUGUGAAAGCCCACGGCUCAACCGUGGAGGGUCAUUGGAAACUGGAGAACUUGAGUACAGAAGAGGAAAGCGGAAUUCCACGUGUAGCGGUGAAAUGCGUAGAGAUGUGGAGGAACACCAGUGGCGAAGGCGGCUUUCUGGUCUGUAACUGACGCUGAGGCGCGAAAGCGUGGGGAGCAAACAGGGAUUAGAUACCCUGGUAGUCCACGCCGUAAACGAUGAGUGCUAAGUGUUAGGGGGUUUCUGCCCCCUUAGUGCUGCAGCUAACGCAUUAAGCACUCCGCCUGGGGAGUACGGCCGCAAGGCUG